rnacentral:rRNA from 1 species
GACGAACGCUGGCGGCGUGCCUAAUACAUGCAAGUUGAGCGAUGAAGAUUGGUGCUUGCACCAAUUUGAAGAGCAGCGAACGGGUGAGUAACGCGUGGGGAAUCUGCCUUUGAGCGGGGGACAACAUUUGGAAACGAAUGCUAAUACCGCAUAACAACUUUAAACAUAAGUUUUAAGUUUGAAAGAUGCAAUUGCAUCACUCAAAGAUGAUCCCGCGUUGUAUUAGCUAGUUGGUGAGGUAAAGGCUCACCAAGGCGAUGAUACAUAGCCGACCUGAGAGGGUGAUCGGCCACCUUGGGACUGAGACACGGCCCAAACUCCUACGGGAGGCAGCAGUAGGGAAUCUUCGGCAAUGGACGAAAGUCUGACCGAGCAACGCCGCGUGAGUGAAGAAGGUUUUCGGAUCGUAAAACUCUGUUGGUAGAGAAGAACGUUGGUGAGGGUGGAAAGCUCAUCAAGUGACGGUAACUACCCAGAAAGGGACGGCUAACUACGUG